rnacentral:rRNA from 1 species
GUCUACAGCCACACCACCCUGAACACUCCCAAUCUCAUUUGACCAUGGGAGCUAAGCAGGUUCAGACCUCACUCAUACUUGAAUGGGAGACUUCCUAGGAAUGAUGAAGUUCAGGUGUGCA